AGGCGCGAAAGCGUGGGGAGCGAACAGGAUUAGAUACCCUGGUAGUCCACGCCGUAAACGAUGAGUGCUAGGUGUUGGGGGCUUCCACCCUCAGUGCUGAAGUUAACACAUUAAGCACUCCGCCUGGGGAGUACGACCGCAAGGUUGAAACUCAAAGGAAUUGACGGGGGCCCGCACAAGCAGUGGAGCAUGUGGUUUAAUUCGAAGCAACGCGAAGAACCUUACCAGGUCUUGACAUCCUCUGCCACUCCUAGAGAUAGGACGUUCCCCUUCGGGGGACAGAGUGACAGGUGGUGCAUGGUUGUCGUCAGCUCGUGUCGUGAGAUGUUGGGUUAAGUCCCGCAACGAGCGCAACCCUUGAUCUUAGUUGCCAGCAUUCAGUUGGGCACUCUAAGGUGACUGCCGGUGACAAACCGGAGGAAGGUGGGGACGACGUCAAAUCAUCAUGCCCCUUAUGACCUGGGCUACACACGUGCUACAAUGGACGGUACAAAGGGCAGCGACACCGCGAGGUGAAGCGAAUCCCAUAAAGCCGUUCUCAGUUCGGAUUGUAGGCUGCAACUCGCCUACAUGAAGCCGGAAUUGCUAGUAAUCGCGGAUCAGCAUGCCGCGGUGAAUACGUUCCCGGGCCUUGUACACACCGCCCGUCACACCACGAGAGUUUGUAACACCCGAAGUCGGUGAGGUAACCUUUUUGGAGCCAGCCGCCGAAGGUGGGACAAAUGAUUGGGGUGAAGUCGUAACCAAGGUAA
rnacentral:rRNA from 1 species